rnacentral:rRNA from 1 species
CGGCCGGGGUCUAGGUAUAAUAACUUUAUAUUGUGAAACUGCGAAUGGCUCAUUAAAUCAGUUAUGAUCUACGUGACAAAUUCUUUACUACUUGGAUAACCGUGGUAAUUCUAGAGCUAAUACAUGCAAAAAAGCCCUGACUUACGAAGGGGUGCACUUAUUAGAUAAAACCAACGCGGGGUAAAACCUGUUUCUUGGUGAAUCAUAAUAAUUAAGCGGAUCGCAUGGCCUUGUGCCGGCGACGGUCCACUCGAUUUUCUGCCCUAUCAUGGUUGAGAUUGUAAGAUAGAGSCUUACAAUGCCUACAACGGGUAACGGGGAAUUAGGGUUCGAUUCCGGAGAGGGAGCCUGAGAAACGGCUACCACAUCCAAGGAAGGCAGCAGGCGCGCAAAUUACCCAAUCCCGACACGGGGAGGUAGUGACAAUACAUAACAAUGCAGGGCCUUUAAGGUCUUGCAAUUGGAAUGAGUACAAUUUAAAUCCCUUUAACGAGGAUCAAUUGGAGGGCAAGUCUGGUGCCAGCAGCCGCGGUAAUUCCAGCUCCAAUAGCGUAUAUUAAAGUUGUUGCAGUUAAAACGUCCGUAGUCAAACUUUAGUCUUACCGGCGUAGUGGCCUGGUCUUCAUUGACCAAGCUCAUUGCUGCCGGAGACUCCAUGUCCAUUGACUCCUAGUCCUCGUGGCUAGGGUUUUCUGGACAAUUACCAUGAGCAAAUCAGAGUGUUUAAAGCAGGCUUUUAAGCUUGAAUGUGUUAGCAUGGAAUAAUGAAAUAUGACUUUAGUCCUAUUUUCGUUGGUUUAGGUACUUCAGUAAUGAUGAAUAGAAACGGUUAGGGGCAUUUGUAUUUGGUCGCUAGAGGUGAAAUUCUUGGAUUGACCGAAGACAAACUACUGCGAAAGCAUUUGACCCGGGACGUUUUCAUUGAUCAAGGUCUAAAGUUAAGGGAUCGAAGACGAUUAGAUACCGUCGUAGUCUUAACCACAAACUAUGCCGACUAGAGAUUGGGCGUGUUUAUUAUGACUCGCUCAGCAUCUUAGCGAAAGUAAAGUUUUUGGGUUCUGGGGGGAGUAUGGGACGCAAGGGCUGAAACUUWAAGGAAUUGACGGAAGGGCACCACCAGGAGUGGAGCCUGCGGCUUAAUUUGACUCAACACGGGGAAACUCACCAGGUCCAGACAUAGUAAGGAUUGACAGAUUGAAAGCUCUUUCUAGAUUCUAUGGGUGGUGGUGCAUGGCCGUUCUUAGUUCGUGGAGUGAUUUGUCUGGUUAAUUCCGAUAACGAACGAGACCUUAUUCUGCUAAUUAGACAGGCUAACUCUUUCGGGUUGGUUUAUAUUUAAUAUUUAACUGGCUUCUUAGAGAGACUAUCGCUCAAGCCGAAGAAUG